CUCACAUCUAACUCUGCUUCCAGGUGACCGGUGUCUGGGUGGUCAGAGACUUGGCCUUCCUCAGCCACAGCUACAUUCCAGCAUGAAGACAGUUGGAGAGACUGUAGGUCAGAGAAGGACCCUCCAAAUCCAGAGACAGACUAUUUCAAAGCAACUUACAAACGGUUCUUUCACUCUGCACCAGCUAUAGCCCUGGGACUCUCUCUGCUCCAUUCCAGUGAUACAAAGUCCAGCCCAGAUGUUCACACGCUGAGGCCAUCCUUUGUCUUUCUUUAGGGCAACACAUCACAUAACGGUGCAUUGUGUGGAUUAACUGGGUCCGUGCUACUCCAGCGAUUCACUUGUGCGAUGUCCAGAGACAUAGCCCAGUGUUGGUGGUGCAGUGGUGAGCACAGCUGCCUUCCCAAGACGUAGCAUCUUCUAUAACAGGGAGAACAGAGUGCGGGGAGAGGGAGAACACAUGGACUCUGGAGCCAGAUACUCCUGCGUUUCUACUGCUUCUACCCUCCUUCACCGCUUCACAUCUGUGUGACUUUACUGAAUUUGCCGGCGCCUUCAUCUUGGAUU